GACGGAGGAUGCAAGCGUUAUCCGGAAUGAUUGGGCGUAAAGCGUCCGCAGGUGGCAGUUCAAGUCUGCUGUCAAAGACCGGGGCUUAACUUCGGAAAGGCAGUGGAAACUGAAUAGCUAGAGUAUGGUAGGGGCAGAGGGAAUUCCUGGUGUAGCGGUGAAAUGCGCAGAUAUCGGGAGGAACACCAGUGGCGAAGGCGACUACCUGGCCUGUUCUUGACGCUGAGGCGCGAAAGCUAGGGGAGCAACAGG
rnacentral:rRNA from 1 species